GCUGAAAUAGCUCAGUUGGGAGAGCAUUAGAGUGAAGAUCUAAAGGUCCCUGGUUCAUUGCAGGGUUUUGGCA
rfam:Salmo salar isolate Sally breed double haploid chromosome ssa27, whole genome shotgun sequence.